rnacentral:rRNA from 1 species
GGCGGCAGGCUUAACACAUGCAAGUCGAGCGGUAGCAGAUCUAGCUUGCUAGAUGCUGACGAGCGGCGGACGGGUGAGUAACGCGUAGGAACCUGCCCAGUAGUGGGGGAUAGCCCGGGGAAACUACGGAUUAAUAACCGCAUACGCUCUACGGAGGAAAGAGGGGGCUUCGGCUCUCGCUAUUGGAUGGGCCUGCGUGAGAUUAGCUAGUUGGUGAGGUAAUGGCUCACCAAGGCGACGAUCUCUAGCUGGUCUGAGAGGAUGAUCAGCCACACUGGGACUGAGACACGGCCCAGACUCCUACGGGAGGCAGCAGUGGGUAAUAUUGCACAAUGGGCGCAAGCCUGAUGCAGCCAUGCCGCGUGUGUGAAGAAGGCUUUCGGGUUGUAAAGCACUUUCAGUGGGGAGGAAGGCCUCGUAGUUAAUAGCUGCGAGGAUUGACGUUACCCACAGAAGAAGCACCGGCUAACUCCGUG